GUGGGGAAUAUUGCACAAUGGGCGCAAGCCUGAUGCAGCAACGCCGCGUGAGGGACGACGGCCUUCGGGUUGUAAACCUCUUUUAGCAGGGAAGAAGCGAAAGUGACGGUACCUGCAGAAAAAGCACCGGCUAACUACGUGCCAGCAGCCGCGGUAAUACGUAGGGUGCAAGCGUUGUCCGGAAUUAUUGGGCGUAAAGAGCUCGUAGGCGGUCCGUCGCGUCUGCUGUGAAAACCCGAGGCUCAACCUCGGGCCUGCAGUGGGUACGGGCGGACUAGAGUGCGGUAGGGGAGAUUGGAACUCCUGGUGUAGCGGUGGAAUGCGCAGAUAUCAGGAAGAACACCGAUGGCGAAGGCAGAUCUCUGGGCCGUAACUGACGCUGAGGAGCGAAAGCAUGGGGAGCGAACAGGAUUAGAAACCCCGGUAGUCC
rnacentral:rRNA from 1 species